CCUACGGGAGGCAGCAGUAGGGAAUCUUCCACAAUGGGCGAAAGCCUGAUGGAGCAACGCCGCGUGUGUGAUGAAGGCUUUCGGGUCGUAAAGCACUGUUGUAUGGGAAGAACAGCUAGAAUAGGAAAUGAUUUNAGUUUGACGUACCAUACCAGAAAGGACG
rnacentral:rRNA from 1 species